rnacentral:rRNA from 4 species
AAAUUGAAGAGUUUGAUCAUGGCUCAGAUUGAACGCUGGCGGCAGGCCUAACACAUGCAAGUCGAACGGUAACAGGAAGCAGCUUGCUGCUUCGCUGACGAGUGGCGGACGGGUGAGUAAUGUCUGGGAAACUGCCUGAUGGAGGGGGAUAACUACUGGAAACGGUGGCUAAUACCGCAUA